UACAGCCUGGCUGGUUUUAUUGUUGUUGUUUGGGCAGAGGCUAAGAGAAGUGAAGAAGAGGCAAGAAAAAGACAAUAAACAGAUGGAGCAACAGAAAGUCUGCAAGGGAAAAAUAAGUUCUCAGUCCAUCUCCACUGAUGGUGUGACCUUCAGAUGGUGUUACCCUUCUAUGAGAGACCUUAAAGGAUGUCAUGUGGCACAGAAAACCCACUAGACUGCUUGGCCCUUAGAGAAGAAACUGAAAAUGCAUGUGCAGCAAUUUCAAUAACCAAGGUUACCCAAGUAGCAGUUAACCAUACUAAUAAAUGUCUGGAAGCCAAUGGCCACUUAAAGCACUUCUUGUAAUUGUAGCAGGCAAAGUAAUUGCAUAGUACAGACAGCCUAUGAAUCAGAGCAUGGUGAUUUGGCCAGCAGGACACCAGAAGAAGGGAAAGGACCACCAUGUUGCUCAAACUGA